ACAUGCAAGUCGAGUGCGCGCCUGUAGCAAUACAGGUGGCGCACGGCGCACGGGUGCGUAACACGUGGGUAAUCUGCCCUCUGAUGGGGAAUAACUCGCCGAAAGGCGAGCUAAUUCCGCAUAAUAUUCCGAAAACUUCGGUUUUUGGACUGAAAGGCGUAAGUCGUCGGAGGAGGAGCCCGCGCACGAUUAGCUAGUUGGUAGGGUAAUGGCCUACCAAGGCUUUGAUCGUUAGCUGGUCUGAGAGGAUGGCCAGCCACACUGGAACUGAGACGCGGUCCAGACUCCUACGGGAGGCAGCAGUGGGGAAUCUUGCACAAUGGGCGAAAGCCUGAUGCAGCGACGCCGCGUGGGGGAUGAAGCUUCUCGGAGUGUAAACCCCUUUCGAUCCGGACGAAUGCCCGCAAGGGAUUGACGGUACGGAUAUAAGAAGCCCCGGCUAACUACGUGCCAGCAGCCGCGGUAAUACGUAGGGGGCCAGCGUUGUUCGGAAUUACUGGGU
rnacentral:rRNA from 1 species